rnacentral:lncRNA from 1 species
CCAGUAUUAGCCAUAAGAAGCUUAAUAUAAAGUAUUAUUUUCAUUUCAACUAGACAAAGUUAAAUUUGGUGAAGUUGUAAACGAACCCCCAAGCUUUACAGCCAGGCCAAAACACGCAGGAGACGAGGCAAGUAGAAAAACUAAAAUGGAUUCUCUUCUCUUGCAAAAUAAACUAAAGGACCAAGGCCAUCAAGACGAGCAUAACAAACCACAAACUUUACCAAAAUCUAAAAAGCGAAAACAUAUGAAUGCAUUUGAAAAACAAAUCAACGAUAAAAGACGACUAGAUGCAAUUGCUGCAUAUAGAAAAAUAAAAAAGAAACAUAUGCGGCAAAAUGCAUCGUAAAAUUACACAAUUUUAUAUAUUUCUUUGAAUAGAAAUUUGGUACGACCUUACGGAUACCAAUUCUAUCCGUGCUGUGUCAAUAACUGACAGUCCAGUGUAGCUAGUAAUUAUACAAUAACCUGUUGUGGUUUGCGUCUGAAGUAC